rnacentral:lncRNA from 1 species
UUUUGGGUGGCGGCUGUCGCGGAGCAUUCGGAGGUGGAGCAUAUCCUUGACAUCACCAAUGCCUCCAAUGUGACUCCGGCUCUUCUUGAAACAGGUCUUCGUCACUGCUGCCGUUGCCUUUACCGCCCCCGGGCACCUAUCCCACCCUUUUCCUCCUAGGGUUGGGACUUCAGAGAUGGAGCGAAGCGAGACGGGACGAGAGUCGAUAGGUCCGUUACACGCACUGGAGAACACAGCGGAGAAGGACAGAGAUGGGAAGAGGAGUUUGUAGCUCGGAGCGGCCUCCGGUAUAUCCUUUCCAAGCCGUGCUCGCGAGGCUUGCGAUGAUGUAUAUCUCUUUUUUUUUUUUUCGACCCACCGGGUCUUGUAACGUAUAUCUUAUUAAAUGAAGAGGAAAUUUUGUUUCCUUGCCUGAACC